rnacentral:rRNA from 1 species
AGUGAACGCUGGCGGUAGGCCUAACACAUGCAAGUCGAACGGCAGCACCGUAAGAGCUUGCUCUUACGGGUGGCGAGUGGCGGACGGGUGAGGAAUACAUCGGAAUCUACUUUUUCGUUGGGGAUUACGUCGGGAAACUUCCGCCAAUACCGCACACGACCUACGGGUGAAAGCAGGGCAUCUUCGGACCUUGCGCGAUUGAAUGAGCCGAUGUCGGAUUAGCUAGUUGGCGGGGUAAAGGCCCACCAAGGCGACGAUCCGUAGCUGGUCUGAGAGGAUGAUCAGCCACACGGGAACUGAGACACGGUCCAGACUACUACGGGAGGCAGCAGUGGGGAAUAUUGGACAAGGGGCGCAAGCCUGAUCCAGCCAUGCCGCGUGGGUGAAGAAGGCCUUCGGGUUGUAAAGCCCUUUUGUUGGGAAAGAAAAGCAGCAGGUGAAUACCCCGCUGUUCUGACGGUACCCAAAGAAUAAGCACCGGCUAACUUCGUG